AGUAGUUUGAUCCUGGCUCGAGGACGAACGCUGGCGGCACGCCUAACACAUGCAAGUCGAACGGAGAUAUUUGGAGCUUGCUUUGAAUAUCUUAGUGGCGGACGGGUGAGUAACACGUGAGCAACCUGCCUCUGCGAGAGGGAUAGCUUCUGGAAACGGAUGGUAAUACCUCAUAACAUAGUGAAACCGCAUGAUUUUACUAUCAAAGAUUUAUCACGCAGAGAUGGGCUCGCGUCUGAUUAGCUAGUUGGUGAGGUAACGGCCCACCAAGGCGACGAUCAGUAGCCGGACUGAGAGGUUGAACGGCCACAUUGGGACUGAGACACGGCCCAGACUCC
rnacentral:rRNA from 1 species